rnacentral:lncRNA from 1 species
AUUAGUUAUCAAAAUUAAACUAUGUUGAUCUCGUGUUAUAAAAAAUGAACUAUUGUGAAAAAUACAUAUGAUUACUAUGAAAAUAUGACGAAGUAUUGAAAGGAAAGCACAUAUAUUGGUGUUGUAAUAUAUGGAAACCUUAGGUUGCGAUGUAAACUUUGAUCUAGAGGAUCGAAGUGAAGCUGGAGCUAGUUGGGCAUCUUCCCCGAGUGAUUUUGGACGUGUGAGAAUGAAAUCCGGAGAUAAAUGAGUGUUUCGGNAUAAUUAAACUGGUGAUGAUCAUGGAUCUUAGAAGUGGAUUCGGACUCGAGCCACUGAGUCGGAAUCGGGGUCUUAGGGUCAUAAAUUACAAGCACACACACGUCAUUGGUUUGAUCGUCUUCAACUUCUUGAUCCGAUCCGGAGCUUCAACUUGAUCCGAUCCAUAUCAACACCUUGAUCCGACGGCCAUCAAGUAUUCGUCUCUAUCCGGGCCUUGCGAACUUUUAAGCUUGCAACCGAUCAACCAAUGACGUGCAACCAUACAUUAUACAACCCAACAAUACAAAUGAAAUGAAAAUUAAUUACAUCUGAUAACUUUUAUCUCUAACCUAUUGAGACACGCAGGUCUCCAAAUAAUCCGGCUUGUGCACGCAGGCACAACUAUAGCCAUCUCUAAUACAAAUUCCUUAAUUUAAAUAAAUUUAAAAUUACAGGAUUCUGCAUACACAUCAUACAUCACAUGUCGAAACAAAAAUAAAUAGGUCGCUAUCCAUGAUCAUCACCGAUAUGCAUCUCAUACAUCACACAUAUAAUAAUAAAUUUUGGGUAUUCUAAUUAACCGUUAACCGAUGAAUCGAAAAAUAAUAGUGACUAAAUCACUAAUAACAAUCAAUCUUAUUGAUCUUUAUAAUUUUGAUCAAAAAUUUAAUCUUCAAAAACAACUUGAUCUCAUCAAGAUUUAAAUUUGAUCUAAUCAAAUUAAAUCUCUUUCUUUUAGUUUAAAAAAAAAAAAUUUGCUUUCCGUAUGGAUGCUACAGUAGCGUCCGUACGGACUGCUACAGUAAAAUCCGUACGGGGCGCUACAGUAGCAUUCGUACGGUGCUACAGUUUUUUUUUUUUUUUUUUUUGAAAACGAGAAACCGUCGAUUAAAUUGUUCGAUCAAUUUGAUAUUUCGAAUUAUCCAAACAACGAUCUAUAAAUCGUUCGAUCGGCGAAAAACGAUUUAGAAUACCUAAAUUCAUAAUUUUAAUCUUAAGAACAUGAGGAUGGCUCUGAUACCACUGUUAGAAAAUUGCGUACGGUAAAACGCAGCGGAAAAAGAAAUCAAACAAAUUUGAUUUUGAAAAACUCUCGAGAUCCAAUCUCAAAAACCACGCAAUUAGGAUCCCUCAUGUUCUUUAAAAUUAAAGAAGAAAAGUAAGAUCGAAUCUUUACCUUUUUUGCGGAUAAAUCUUCGCCUCAAUUUGAUGAUCGUGGAAUCGGGUUCUCUUGAAGCCGCACACGCGUCCGGCCUCUAUAGGUAUCCACACGAGGUUCUUGAUUUGAUCGAUGUCCUCACCGGGGUGCUAGCUCCCUUGCAAAAGGACGUCUUUCUUGCUAGAAGAUGGAAGAGAGAAGAGAGGAUAGAUGACGGCUUGGGUUUUCUAAAAACUCCCGUAUAUUAUAUAUAGGAAUAUAAUCCUAUUCCUAAUAAUAUAAUGUCAAUUAAGGAUAAGUAUAAAUCUAGAUUUAAAUUUAUCUUUUCCUUAAUUGGUUAGAUCGAUCAAAUCCUAAUUUGAUUCGACUUGAAUUUUAUAUUAAUUUGAUCUUAUCAAAUUAAUAAUGCAACAUUUGCACAUAAGUCCUCUUAUAAUUUACUAACUAUUAGUAAGUCCUCUCUUGUAACAUUUACACUUUAA